rnacentral:rRNA from 1 species
AUUGAACGCUGGCGGCAGGCCUAACACAUGCAAGUCGAGCGGAGCGACGGACGGGUGAGUAAUGCCUAGGAAUCUGCCUGGUAGUGGGGGAUAACUACCGGAAACGGGCGCUAAUACCGCAUCCUAGCAGAAGGGCCUAGGUCGGAUUAGCUAGUUGGUGGGGUAAAGGCCCACCAAGGCGACGAUCCGUAGCUGGUCUGAGAGGAUGAACAGCCAAACUGGAACUGAGACACGGUCCAGACUCCUACGGGAGGCAGCAGUGGGGAAUAUUGGACAAUGGGCGAAAGCCUGAUCCAGCCAUGCCGCGUGUGUGAAGAAGGUCUUCGGAUUGUAAAGCACUUUAAGUUGGGAGGCGUUACCCGCAGAAUAAGCACCGGCUAACUUCGUGCCAGCCGCCGCGGUAAUUC